CUGCAUGGCUGUCGACAGCUCGUGUCGUGAGAUGUUGGGUUAAGUCCCGCAACGAGCGAAACCCUUGUCCUUAGUUGCCAGCACGUAAUGGUGGGAACUCUAAGGAGACCGCCGGUGACAAACCGGAGGAAGGUGGGGAUGACGUCAAGUCAUCAUGGCCCUUAUGACCAGGGCUACACACGUACUACAAUGGU
rnacentral:rRNA from 1 species